rnacentral:snoRNA from 1 species
CUGCAUCUACUGACAGACCUUAAGUAGUCUGCUGUUCUCUUGGUUUGCACCAAGGAUGAGAAAGAAAAAUCCUUGUACUUUCUGUCUGGGUGGCAGCCCAGGUUGAAUAGGGGCUACAUCA